AGGGGCUCAAAAUUGAUUUUCCAUGUUGUCAUUUAUUGGAGCUCUACUGAAGAGGAUCUGGUCAGUGUGAUAAGGAAGGUUCCACUGCUGUGUUUGACAGAGUGAUUUGAUGACGGAUUCAUCAGACACAGGAGAAUAGAGGAGGCUGGGAGACCAGGACGCCCCAGUGGGGAAGUCCGGAGGAAGCUCAGAGGCAUUGAAUACUGGUUUCACUGGACAGCAGUUUGGUGGAACCACCGUGAGCCCCUGAGAGCGGCCCACUCUGCUGAAUGGGACAAGUUAACUUCAGG